UCGAGCGGAACGAGUUAUCUGAACCUUCGGGGGAACGAUAACGGCGUCCAGCGGCGGACGGGUGAGUAAUGCCUAGGAAAUUGCCUUGAUGUGGGGGAUAACCAUUGGAAACGAUGGCUAAUACCGCAUAAUGCCUACGGGCCAAAGAGGGGGACCUUCGGGCCUCUCGCGUCAAGAUAUGCCUAGGUGGGAUUAGCUAGUUGGUGAGGUAAUGGCUCACCAAGGCGACGAUCCCUAGCUGGUCUGAGAGGAUGAUCAGCCACACUGGAACUGAGACACGGUCCAGACUCCUACGGGAGGCAGCAGUGGGGAAUAUUGCACAAUGGGCGAAAGCCUGAUGCAGCCAUGCCGCGUGUAUGAAGAAGGCCUUCGGGUUGUAAGUACUUUCAGUUGUGAGGAAGGGGGUGUCGUUAAUAGCGGCAUCUCUUGACGUUAGCAACAGAAGAAGCACCGGCUAACUCCGUGCCAGCAGCCGCGGUAAUACGGAGGGUGCGAGCGUUAAUCGGAAUUACUGGGCGUAAAGCGCAUGCAGGUGGUUCAUUAAGUCAGAUGUGAAAGCCCGGGGCUCAACCUCGGAACUGCAUUUGAAACUGGUGAACUAGAGUACUGUAGAGGGGGGUAGAAUUUCAGUGUAGCGGUGAAAUGCGUAGAGAUCUGAAAGGAAUACCAGUGGCGAAAGGCGGCCCCCUGGACAGAUACUGACACUCAGAUGCGAAAGCGUGGGGAGCAAACAGGAUUAGGAUACCCUGGGUAGUCC
rnacentral:rRNA from 1 species